rfam:Schistosoma rodhaini strain Burundi genome assembly, scaffold: SROB_scaffold0006477
AUCCAUCUGACGAGUCUCACAUAUGAUGAAACGCGCGUCCUGUAU